rnacentral:sRNA from 1 species
CGUUUCUUCAAAUGCUGGCACAACGCCCAGAGCUCGAUGAGGUGUGGGCAAGUAGCUGUCUAAAGGUGGAUGAUGCCCUCCAUGCGCUUUCAGCCUGCCUGGUGGCUGGGCAGUCGAAAACGUCGCCAUCUAUUAAGCUCCUUUGACUGGGAGCAGGUGACGGGUAGAGACGGAAGUUCUGGGAAUCACCGGAGAAGGGAGGGAAGGGCUCCUUCCGGCCGCCUGCUCCCGGAGUCUUCGUGGGGAACGUGAGGUGAGAGCAGGCCGUGAAGAGUAGACACGACUGAUGACUUCAGGGAUGCUACGACUUUCUCUCCUGCCUGGGCAAGCCUCGAGAACAGCCCAUCUUCACCACCCGAGCGCAUGUGUUCCAGAUUGACCCCAACACCAAGAAGAACUGGAUGCCUGCGAGCAAGCAGGCGGUCACCGUUUCCUACUUCUAUGAUGUCACAAGGAACAGCUAUCGGAUCAUCAGUGUGGACGGAGCCAAGGUGAUCAUAAACAGCACAAUCACACCGAAUAUGACCUUCACCAAAACGUCACAGAAGUUUGGGCAGUGGGCCGACAGCAGAGCCAACACGGUGUUUGGUUUGGGGUUUUCCUCUGAGCAGCAGCUGACAAAGUUUGCAGAGAAAUUCCAGGAGGUGAAAGAAGCUGCCAAGAUAGCCAA